rnacentral:lncRNA from 1 species
GCCGUAUCGUGCCGCCCGUUUUGCCCGCGGGGAAGCCGAGGCCCGGCGCCGUAUCCUGUGGCCGUUUUACCCGCGGGAAAGUCGAGGCCCGGCGCCGUAUCCUGCCGCCCGUUUUACCCGCGAGGAAGCCGAGGCCCGGCGCCGUAUCCUGCCGCCCGUUUUACCCGCGGAGACGCCGAGGCCCGAUGCCGUAUCCUGCCGCCCGUUUUACCCGCGGGAAAGCCGAGGCCCGGUGCUGUAUUCUGCCGCCCAUUUUACCCGCGGGGAAGCUGAGGCCCAGUGCUGUUUAAUAUCUUACUCAUGUUCACUUGAUGAGAAAGUGACAGAUCUGAGACAAACCCAGGUAUGAGGCUGCAGAGCCCUGCUCUGAACCGCUGAGUCUGUCUCUUUUCUUGGGACAGGGACAGCUUCCUGUGGUGACAGCCUUGCUCUUGGCUGCAGGGAUUAAGGGAGGAAUAAAGCUCGGGGCUACAGCCAGCCCAUCCGGGAUGGGGAGCUACCACAGGGCAGCAGGUUUAGCUCUCACUGCUUUUCUGACCUGAGUAUGCCUAGAGAGGGGAGCUCAGAGCCAUGGAGGAGCAAGGAGAGCCUUGGGUCCUACAGCGGCUACCAGACCUCUGCGUGCAGUUCUCGCCCUGGGCAAGCCCUCUGUGUGGGUGGGUGGGUGGGUGGGUGCUGCCAGGACAGGCCUCUGGGAAGACGUGGAACACUGACGGAAGGAGGGAGGAGGGCAGAAGCCAGGGUGUUUGCUCCUCUCUCCCGUGGCCUGGGAUGGGGGUCUCGUGCACUGAUGUGUUUCCCUCACCACUCCCGUGGCACAGCCCCUCCCCCUUUCUUCCCCGCUCCAGCCAGCACACCCCUGACUUGACUCCACCUUCAGCAGGAUGGCCUUGGCGUCUGUGUCCUGGCAAUGUCACCCUCCUCUCAUUUCUUCUUUAGUUCUAGAGGUUAUGACACCAGCCAUGGAAGAGCAGAGAGGCCAAUGAGGUGGGGAGGUUGGAAACAAAAGGCCUUCUCCACCCCAGCUUGACCAACCCAAAAGCUGGAAGGCAAGGAAGACCUAGAUCGACAGAAAAGAAAUGAGUCAACGAUGGUGCAGAAAGGGACCAGCUUGACGAAGCUUCUGCUUUUGUGACUGUCUCCUAAUGAAACCAGAGCACCUCAGAAGAUCAAGGCUUCCAAAUUCUCCUGGGGGAACAGACGUCAGCCAUUCAGCACAAAGGAAACUUCCUUCUCUGUAUGUCAGAGGAAGACAUAAUUGUGCCAUUUCCUUCUUGAAGAAGUUUACAAACAUUUGCAAGUUGUCAAAAAUAAUUAGUCUAAAAUUGUUUCAUAAACCGUGGAAUGAAACAGGACGUGCCUUGUUGAGAUCAAAGGGCUUCUGUUACCUUCUUGUAAACUCAAAUGAAAUUCUUUUGAAAGUAAA